rnacentral:rRNA from 1 species
GACGAACCGUGCGAACGUUAUUCGGAAUCACUGGGCUUAAAGCGCGUGUAGGCGGGACGGCACGUCGGUUGCUGAAAUCCCCCGGCUCAACCGGGGAACGGGCAGCGAUACGACCGUCCUGGAGGGGGGUAGGGGGAGCUGGAACUUCCGGUGGAGCGGUGAAAUGCGUUGAGAUCGGAAGGAACGCCCGUGGCGAAAGCGAGCUCCUGGACCCUUACUGACGCUGAGACGCGAAAGCCAGGGGAGCGAACGGG